UUAUAACCCAAUUAGCUAUAGGUUAGGUAAGCAGAAGCUAAUUAGUGUUACUUUUAUUAUUAUUAUAUAAAUCGCCAUUUACACAUUUAUAACACUGAGGCAAAUGAUAACAGUAAACUAAGACUGUAUAAUACACUCGAGAAGAAAAAAAAAACAGAUUUCUCACGAAAAAUACAUUAAAAGUGUGGGUCAGCGCAUGCGUAGUGCUGUUAGGUAGCACACAUCGGCGAGUAGCACAGUUGGACAGAACGCCGGUAAACCCCGAAAACACGCGGUAAAGUGGUAACUCUCUUCUCUACAGACUCUGUGGUAUUAUUAUAUAUCUGGAUCCGCACAGAACAGCAAAAACAAGCGUCUUUAUUUCUGAUUUCUGGAGUAAAACCUCGAGUUCCGGGCUGAUAAACCCGCCGGCCGGUCCUGCAGGAGUUUAUAAUGGUCUGACUUCUGAUAAAAGCCGGUGCCUAUGUGGUGCGGAAGAUCUCUGCUGCUGUCAGAGAUGGAGAGCAGAAGGAACAGCCUCAGCUCCCAGCAUGCACCCUGGCAUCAGGUGAGAUCUCCAAAGUGAAAAACCUUUAAUGGCUGAGGCAGUAUCGACUCCAUCUUAUGAAGAUGCUGCAUCGUCCAUGCCAGCUACUACUGACACCUCGCUGCAGAAAUGCGGCUCCUGGCGUUAAGGUCAUGCAGGUGCAUAACUGGGUACAAUAUGCUAAACAGUUAAACCAGUAAGAAACUGUAAAAUCAGUCAGUGAUGAUUGGAUGGAUGUUGUUGAGAUUCCAACAUUCCUAAAAUAAAUAAACCAGACUUGAUUAAUAAAGGGCUGAUUUUGAACCCAGUUUGCCCUGCAUGACUGAUACAGUAGAUAAAUCAUAUCUCUCUCUUUUCUCUUUUCUCUCUCUCUCUCUUUUCUCUCUCUCAUACGCACUGUGCUGUAGAUUAUGAAGGUCUGAUCAUCAACCUCUAACUCUGGGACUGUUCAGAUCUGAUUUUGUCCUACAGCUGCG
rnacentral:lncRNA from 1 species